ACUAGUCUAGCUUUCUCUAUAGAUCAGAUAUAUAGCAUCCAACAAGUCUCACCUAUUCUCCAUUCUCUCAUCCAAAUUAACCAGCUGCAUCAUAUAUAUAGUCAAGGUUGAGCCAUUUCCAUAACUCUUCUUCUCUUUGAUGGUUCAUCGUUAUCGUCCUUCUUGUCUUAGAAAUCAAAAUAUGGCUGGUAUUGUUGCUAUCUAUGUGUUGGUUGUAGUAGUAAUCCUUCUUUGUUGUUGCUCCUUCUCUGCUCAAUUCUACUGAUCAUCAAGAAUUAAACAAUGCACCAAUUCCAUCUCCCCUCAAUAUCACAUUUGAAGAUAAGAGAGUAGUUCCAACUGGUUCAAACCCUCUUCACAACAUGUAGCUAUAUAGCUAGAGCAACGUAACAGAUAGAUGAGGUGAUAGGUCAAGCUCAAACUACCAAAUCAGUUCUAGGCACUCAAAAGGCGAUCUUUGGCGAUGUUCAGGGAAAAUUGAAACAAUUGGGUGAAAAGUUUCCAGUAAUCCGUUGACUGCUCGGUGCAAUAAAAAGGAAGCGAUCAAGGGACACUCUAAUACUCGCUGCAGUCAAACUAGUUCAAACCCUCUUCACAACAGGCAGCUAUAUAGCUAGAGCAACGUAACAUGUCAUAUGUGUAUCU